GUCCACGCCCUAACGAUGUCAACUAGUUGUUGGUAGGGUAAACCUAUUAGUAACGAAGCUAACGCGUGAAGUUGACCGCCUGGGAGUACGGCCGCAAGGUUAACUCAAAGGAAUUGACGGGGACCCGCACAAGCGGUGGAUGAUGUGGAUUAAUUCGACGCAACGCGAAACCUUUACCUACCCUUGACAUGUCAGGAAUCUUGGAGAGAUUUGAGAGUGCCCGCAAGGGAACCUGAACACAGGUGCUGCAUGGCUGUCGU
rnacentral:rRNA from 1 species